UACGUAGGGGGCAAGCGUUGUCCGGAUUUAUUGGGCGUAAAGAGCGUGUAGGCGGCCAGGUAGGUCCGUUGUGAAAACUGGAGGCUCAACCUCCAGCUGUCGACGGAAACCGUAUGGCUAGAGUCCGGAAGAGGAGAGUGGAAUUCCUGGUGUAGCGGUGAAAUGCGCAGAUAUCAGGAAGAACACCAAUGGCGAAGGCAGCUCUCUGGGACGGUACUGACGCUGAGACGCGAAAGCGUGGGGAGCGAACAGG
rnacentral:rRNA from 1 species